rnacentral:rRNA from 1 species
AUUGAACGCUGGCGGCAGGCCUAACACAUGCGAGUCGAACGGUAACAGGAAGCAGCUUGCUGCUUUGCUGACGGGUGGCGGACGGGUGAGUAAUGUCUGGGAAACUGCCCGAUGGAGGGGGAUAACUACUGGAAACGGUAGCUAAUACCGCAUAACGUCGCAAGACCAAAGAGGGGGACCUUAGGGCCUCUUGCCAUCGGAUGUGCCCAGAUGGGAUUAGCUAGUAGGUGGGGUAACGGCUCACCUAGGCGACGAUCCCUAGCUGGUCUGAGAGGAUGACCAGCCACACUGGAACUGAGACACGGUCCAGACUCCUACGGGAGGCAGCAGUGGGGAAUAUUGCACAAUGGGCGCAAGCCUGAUGCAGCCAUGCCGCGUGUAUGAAGAAGGCCUUCGGGUUGUAAAGUACUUUCAGCGGGGAGGAAGGGAGUAAAGUUAAUACCUUUGCUCAUUGACGUUACCCGCAGAAGAAGCACCGGCUAACUCCGUG